rnacentral:rRNA from 1 species
UACGUAGGGUCCGAGCGUUGUCCGGAAUUACUGGGCGUAAAGAGCUCGUAGGUGGUUUGUCGCGUUGUUCGUGAAAACUCACAGCUUAACUGUGGGCGUGCGGGCGAUACGGGCAGACUUGAGUACUGCAGGGGAGACUGGAAUUCCUGGUGUAGCGGUGGAAUGCGCAGAUAUCAGGAGGAACACCGGUGGCGAAGGCAGCUCGCUGGGACGGUACUGACGCUGAGGCGCGAAAGCGUGGGGAGCAAACAGG